UCACUUCGCCUGAUUCGACCUCUUCUCGGGACUUCCUGGGUGUGUCCCUGUGCCGGACUGAUCCUCCUGGUGCACCUGAGAACCGCUAUGGGCAGUUUUCUCCCAUUGAGUAGCUCCGCAAAAUACCGUUCACGGGGUCUUCUGACAUGGUUUCCUAACAGAAAUGUCGGAGUCGAAAUUACGAAUGGUUUCCGUUGUUGUGACCGCGGCAACAAAAUUUAAUUCACCGCCGGGGGCAGAAACCUCAGGGAUGGAUAUCUCGGAACAAUACCGAGACCAGCUACACUGCUGAUACCGCGAGAGGAGGAGGUGUUUGCAGUAGGUGAGACAAGGUGUGGAGCCAUCACCUACCGAGAAAGCCCAAUGGAGCACAGGCAAUGAUUUACACUCUGACAGGACAACCGCACGUCUUCAGCAUGUUCACUCAUCAUAGAGCUCUGACUCUAAACACAGCCAGCACUCAACCUGAAGCCUGCCUUCUCCUCUGUUCUGCUGACUCACUCUGCACAUAGCGGACCAUUCAGUCCAGGGGGGAGAGUUCCCAGGAACAGGCAUUAGACAUACCAGGAGCGACAGAAAUCUCGCCAAGCGGGAUAAGAUCAUAAAACUGCAAGGCACUCUCCUCUCAUUUUCAACUAAAUGGAUAAAAUGGUGUCAGCGUGUUACUGCGAGCCCCUCAGG